UUAGCGAUUACCGAAGAUAACCGGAAACGAUUCCGUUAGAGAUUCCGAGAUUAGCGAACAGAGAUUCAGUUACCGAUUCCUUUAGCGAUUAGCGAUUCCUAUAAACGAGUAACUCGGUUAGCGAUUCCGAUUAGCGAACAAGAUAAAUCAGAAUCAGAGUGAAGAUAAACCUAACGAAUAAACCACAAAUUAUUGAUGUAACAAAGAUUGAUGAAUAAUGUGUAAUAAGCCAUGAAUCCGAAGUAAAGAAAAGCUCGAAUGAAGCGCAAUUUCAAGAUUCUAAGUCAAGUAGAAACCAUGGAAGAAAAUUAACGAUGAUUACUGUGUUAAGAAGACGGUUAUGGAUAAUCAAGGUGGUGAUGAUGUAGAGUUGAAAAGUUUGUUAUGUGAUUUGAUGGAUUGUUGAUUUGACGGUUAUAUUCUGCACUAGCUUUUCUAUUUAUACUUAUAGUUGGAUUGUAAUUUGAU
rnacentral:lncRNA from 1 species